GCCGGGUGAGGCGUGGGGAGGCCCGGAGAGGCUGUGGAGGUUCAGCCGCGGCAGGGCUGGGCGCUGGUUUGAGCCUCCUUCGCCGCUGAGAGCCGCCGGCGGAGAGGAGAACACAACCACCGGAAAGCGAUCAGGAAUUUUGCUGUGAGGAGAGCGUAGGAUACAGAGAGCUCGUCUGAGGGCUCAGUCUUCUUAGGUCUGCUGUUGUUGCACCAGCGUUCCGGCAGCUGUCGGAGAUCCGGAUUCCACGGGCCUUUCCCUCCUGAAACAUCAGCUGCCUUCCCCUGAGUAACGCCCGAGAAACUGCAUACGUAGGUUUGGAGAAAAUUGAAAAGCCUGAAUCUGAAAAUCUUCUCUUUUAUAGAUGACACACAAACUACUCAUAAACAACCCCUGUUGAUCUUUUAGAAAUCCCCUAGGGUAAACAGAACACUGGUUGGGGUAACUUUAUCGUCCUUAGUGGCUUAGUUGUCUAAAUCUUCAGGAUUUUUCCAUCUAUCACUGUCACUUUGUGCUGUCAGUAAACAUAAACAUUCUGAGGUUUUUAAAAAUUUGUAAGUUUAGGUAAAAAUGUGAAGUUGAAAUGCUGUCAGUUUUAACGCUUAUUUUCAUCAGACUGAUGCAAUGUAAUUUUAAGCAAAUUUACUAAGAAUUAAUUUUAAAGCAGCUUUUAAAAAAUGUACCUUUAUAUUCACUACAUUUAAUACCUUUCCUUGUUAGCUUAGUGUCUCGUUUAACUUGUGUUGUGUUGUUCUGCUGUUUACCUUUUUUUUUUUUUUUUGCUCAUGUUUGGGGCUUUACAGUGUCUUUUAUCUUCUCUAUUCUGCAAGGCUCACAUCUUGCUUUUCAUGCUAUUCAUCCUAUUUUCAGAGGACCUUCCCUUCCCUUCCCUUCCCUUCCCUUCCCUUCCCUUCCCUUCCCUUCCCUUCCCUUUUUUUUUCUUAAAAAAAUAUUUAUUUAGGUCUCUGUGCUUAUUUAUUCUGUACUGCAGAGUGGCAUGGAAAUAUAGAAUAUGAUUUUGUUUUAUCCACAUAGACCUUUUUUCUGUAGAAAGUAACAAGUAGGAAAAAAACUGGCAUCAGCAUGUUUUCUCUGGCCUUAAUAAAAAGGUCUUUGCUUCUGUCUGGGGGUAACCAGAUGCACUCCUACAGGUGCAGCAGUAAGUCUGGAACAAUGUGGUUGUACCGAGCAAGUACAGUGACCUUGCAGUUACUAGUGAGCAGCUCACGAGAUUUCUGGGCUGGGACCUUGCACUAAUCUGAGUCGUCUGUGGGAUUGAUCAGUAUCAGAGUGCUUCAGCUUCUCUUGGAGCCCAUUUAUUGACAUCUUCCCCCAUUCUCACAUUUUGAUUUAUUUAUCAACCCAUGGGUCGUGCAGUUAAUGAGAUGAAGCUUGAUAUAACAUGAAAAUGGAGAGAAAUGACUGUAAAUGUUUUGGAUACUCUUCUUCUUUUAUGACCUUUUAAAAUAUUUCAGUUAGAAACAACAAGCUUUUUUUUUUUUUUUUUUUUCACCAGUUAGUUUGCAGUCCUGCUGGAGUUUUUCAUGACUUUUGAUUAUCUUAAUUACGUCUUUGCCUGUGUCACUUUUUCAAGAUCCAAAAAUAGUUACUACGAUUAAGGACAAAAAAUAGUCAGGAUGAAGAAGUCAUGAAUGACAAACCCAAACUGCCUUUUGGAGAAAAGUUCAAAAAAACACACUAGAGUGUAGUCAUAGGAAGUUCAGAGUUCUUAAACUUUUUUCCACCUGUUUCUGGUUCUUCUGGUUGAACCAAUACUGUGCAUCUAAUUUCAGGCAUGCAGAGGUGGCUAGCAGAAAUAAAUGAAUGAAGAUGACUUUAUGCUUGUAUCAAAUUUACAGUCUGUGGAAGAAUCUAAGUACAUCCAAAUGGCUGGGUCAGGUAGAGGAAGAGGACAUGCUUCAUCUGCCUUGAACAUGGAGGCUGUUGGUUUUGGUAAAGAUGCAGCUCUACCUGAUUUCAUCUGUAAGCUUCACCAUAAUUUCCAGUAAGUACAGCCAGUAUCUUGGAGCACAGUCUGUGUUCAGGUAAACUAUGUUUACACUCAUGUUUAGAGAACAUAGAGAACUUAAUGAAAUAUAUGAACACCCGUAAGAAUUUUGGAUUUUAUCAUAAUGUAAAUCACUAUUUUUCUUAAUUCAUCAUCAAAAGGGGCUUUCCUGCCCCUUUGCUAACUGUUGUAUCACAUAUUUAACUGGAUUGCUUGCAAGGAGUUAGUGCAUUGAAGUCCUCAUCAUGAUUUGGUUUUCUGGACAUUACAAGAAUAGAUACACUGGAUACUUGAAUUUGUCUGAAAUGAGUUUACAUUAAUCUUUGAAGCUAUAAAUUUGCUGAUUUUAGAAAAUUACUAUUUAUGCAAACAUGAAAGAUUGUGUAUGAUUGUCCUGUACUGCAGAAGCCAGCAUUUGAAAAUAACUGAAAGAUCUUUUGUGUAAUUAAGGGAGCGUAAUUGAGACUUGGCAUUUUGGAUGUAUUUGAAAAUCAAAGGGGAAUAAAGACCAUCUUCUGACUGCAUUUUGAUGUCCAGGGAAGCUUUGGACUUACUGAACCAUAUAUUAUUCAUCCUCUUAAUCCAGCAUUGCAAUUAAGAUGUGUGAUUUCAUAUUACUAAGUCAUCUGUAACUGUUUUUCAUGUGAAUGUUGCAGUUUGCUUGGUAGCACAGUUCUGUGCCAUUGGAAUUCUGUAUACACUGCAUCUUUUGAGGUACAGUCAGUCUAACAGGACAAUUACUAGCCCCAGUAUAUUUAAUGUAUACCCUGGAGAAGGUAAAAGGCUUUCUUCCUUCUGUGAACAAAAUUUCAGAACCAAGUUAAACUUCUCAGGGCAAAUCUGGUGUCAUUCAGAAAAAUCAGAGUUAACCUAGCUGUAUAAGUAGAAUCAAUAAAAAAUUCAAGUGUUGAUUUAAUGACUGGACAAUGACCAAAAGUACGUUACAGCUUUGACUAACUUACAGUGAAAGUAUUUGAAGCAGUGAAUUAUUGCUGUUGCAUAUUCCUGUUAGACACUUUCUGAGUUCACACAAAGUUUCUGUAAAUGCAAUUAGAAACUCAAUUAAGGAACAUCAGCAACAUUAAGUGAUUUAAAGUAUUGGACAACUUGCAAAUAUAGAUGGAAGCAGUAAGCUCCUUUCAUGGUCCAGAUCUGGGACUUCUGAUACACUUCAUGCUUUGCAACCUACCACUCACUUAUUGAUUUAGCACCAUUUAUCACAUGAGAGAAACAACAUCCAUUCUAUAAUUCUGCCUGUAGUAUUCUGGAUACUUUUAAAACUGUUUUUGCAUAUUUAUCUUUCUCACUUUCAAGGUUCAAGUUAAACAAAAACAAAACACCCCAAAAGCAAACCCCUACAAAAAACCUCCCUCAAAUCCCAAAAAUCCAACCCUUAACAUUUCAUUUAAAUUCAUCUGGUAGAAACUGUGUGAGGGCCUGGUUUUAGACAACACAACCUCAUGAUAAUAGUCAUGAGAAGAGUGUCCAUGUUAUUAGAUAGCAUACUUAAUGUAGCUGUAACACUAUCAUAGAAUAGCAUACUUAAUGUAGCUGUAACACUAUCAUAGAAGUGGUUAAGAAAAAUACCACUCUGACUGAAGAGAGAAGGAAUAGUUUCUGAGAAAGUUUGGUUGGUGAGAAUAAUUGCUUUUGGCAGUUAAGAGUUUAGGAUUACUAUGAAUGACUGUGUAACAGUUUUAAUAAUUUUUUUCCCUUGAUUUUGUACAAAAUGCCACAUCUGAGGGGUGGGUUAUAAUUACAUCAAUGAUGGUCUUCAAUUUAAAAAGCUUGUUUUUAUCUCAAUUGUAGUGUGCAGUUGUCUCUGGGACUGCAUUCUGUGGCAAAAGUGGUCUAGCUUUAAGAAAACUGUGGAGUAGAUUUUUUUUUACUGAUAUUUUCUGUUACCUGGUUAACAGAACAUUUUGUAAAAGUAAGAGGGUGUUACAAAGUGGGCUGUAAGCAGGAACUUGAUAAAUUGUCUUUGCUACAAGAGUGAAUGGAUUGUUAUAAAACCUCAGAGCAGUAUCUGUGAGCCAGGUGGUCCUUUGAAGUGUGAGAAGGGAAACGUUUUAUUAGUUAGGAUGUAUCUAUCUAUUUUUCAUUAUUCAGGUAGCAAAUGAAAGCCCUGUCUCCUUCUACCUGGAAAUUUUGAUGUGAAAUGUGCCAAAUAGCAUAGAUUUCCAUCAUUCAACACUCAUUUUGAGAGAAUAGCCGGCAUAUUCUAUAGAAAUUUCUUUAUUUACCCCACUAUGUAAGUUACGAAUCACUCAUAUUUUCCUGUGCAUGUAUCUGCCAAGACUGGGUGACUGCCACGUUGGCAGUGGUUUGGAAUUAGUUCCGUGGUUGUGAGUGGCAAGAGUCAGUCAAUGGAUUUUUUUACUGAUGGCAUCAGCAAUUUUUUCCUCACUAAAGAGCCUUGAACUGAAAUCAAAACUACUUGUUUCUUUUCCUCUCUUUGCUGGUAGUUUCCUACAUCUAUGAAUGCCCCUUGAGACACUGUUAUUUUAAUUGUAAACUCUUUCAUGCACAAUUUUGAGAAGGUUUUCUGUUUGCCUUCAUAAUAACUAAGUUUAAGAUUUAGCUUCAUCUAUGAUGUCUUCUUUUUCCGUGGUGAGUACGCACCUGAAGGAUGGAAUGCCACAGAGAGACCUUCUCCAGUCUCCAGACAGACUGGAGAAGUGGGUGCAUGGGAAUCUCAUGUAGUUUUAAUAGUGAGUGCAAGUGCUGCACCUGGGUUGGACCAGUGCCAGCACGUUGAGGGAGGGAUUGUUCCCCUCUUCCCUGUUUUGGUGGGACCCCACCUGCGGUUCUGCAUAAGCUCUGGGGUCCCAGAACAGGAAGGACAUGGACCUGUUGGAACAAGUCCAGAAGAGGCCACUCAGUUGAUUAGAGGGAAGGAGAACUUCUCCUAUGAGGAGAGCCUGAGAGAAUUGAGAUUAUUCAGCUUGGAAAAGUCUUCAGGCUGACCUAAUUGCAGCCUUUCAGUAUCUAAAGGGAAUUUACAGAAAAGAUGGGGCAAUAGCAUGUAGUGACAGGACAAAGGGGAAUAGGUUCAAAUUGAAAGAGAAUAGGUUUAGAUUAGACAUUAAGAAGAAAUUCUUUACUGUGAGGGUGUUGAGGCACUGACACAGGUUGCUCAGGGAAAUUGUGGAUGCCCCAUUUCUGGAGGUGUUCAAUGCCAGGCUCGGGGCUUUGAGUAACCCGAUCUAGUGGAAGGUGUCCCUUCCCAUGUCAGUGGGGUUAGAACAAGAUGAUGUUUAAGGUCCCUUCCAACUCAAACUCUUCUGUCAUUCUGUGAGUCUGUGAUUAUGUGCUAGAAGUUUUUGACACUAAAGGUUUGUUACUAUUUUUUGUAAAAUAUCUGCAAAUAUUAUCCCUACUUGGGUUAACAGUGCAAUCAGGUUCAGUAAUUUUGCAUGAAGUGGAUUUUGCAUGUGGCAAUUUGUCAAGAAAAAAUGUGACUGAUUUAAAAAUACUAAAGUUUUGGUAUUACUUUUGGCAUUAGAGAUUGUAUGUAAAAGGUUAUUAUCCAUGUAUAAAUGAAUGUACUUGUACUGUAUGACUACUGUAUUAUUUACAAUGAAUUUCUAAAUUUACUUCUUGUGCCUGAAAGAAGGUUAAAUUGAUUAAAUGUUUAGCUGCUGUUUUGGAUAGGAUGCAAAGCUCUUCCAUUGCAGAAGUACUGGAAGUCUUGGAAGCUGGUGAUCAGACACAACCUUUUGAGACUUGGGAAUACUGGAUGCUAUUUAUGAAUAACACAGUGAUGUUAAAUGUUGCUCACUGGUUUUGUAAUAAAAGUUUGAUUGUGAAACUCUUGAAGAGUAGAGAGUUACUGUUGUAUCUGAUGUUUUCAACUUAGUCUCUGAAUAAAUCUGCAUUUAACAAUUCCAUGCUUUUCAAGGAUAAAAGAAUAAAUCACAGUAUUUUUGGA